UGGGUUGUGAUGUUGACCCUAUUCUGUGUGAGGUUGGGUUGUGAUGUUGACCCUGUUCUGUGUGAGGUUGGGUUGUGAUGUUGACCCUGUUCUGUGUGAGGUUGGGUUGUGAUGUUGACCCUGUUCUGUGUGAGGUUGGUUGUGAUGUUGACCCUAUUCUGUGUGAGGUUGGGUUGUGAUGUUGACCCUGUUCUGUGUGAGGUUGGGUUGUGAUGUUGACCCUGUUCUGUGUGAGGUUGGGAUGUGAUGUUGACCCUGUUCGGUGUGAGGUUGGGUUGUGAUGUUGACCCCGUUCGGUGUGAGGUUGGGAUGUGAUGUUAACCCCGUUCGGUGUGAGGUUGGGUUGUGAUGUUAACCCCGUUCGGUGUGAGACCCUGGAUACAGCAUGGCCUACAGAAGGGCUUACCCAGGUCUAC
ensembl:lncRNA